CUAUUUGGUGCAAGGAACGGACUGUGGCAGCCUUGGAGGUCACAACUUGUUAAGGGCUGUCCUGCUCAAAAAUAAAAACUGAUUUGACAAUAAAGGCCAGGGACAGGUGAUAACCAUCCACAAAGAGUUCUAUCAACUUUGAGUGCACUCACCUUUCAAAAGCAACUUGUGGGCCACACUGAUCGAUGUUAAAGAACACUAGCACUGGACUGGUUCAUUGGGAACUCAUCAGUCCUAAAAAGCUAUUCCAAACUCAAACCUUUGACUUAUAAGACUGUUGCCACACCAUGAGCUUCAAAUGUCUAUUAAACAAACAUCUGAGACUUGCCUUCUUUUUCCCUGAGGUGAGGAAGGAAAUGCCCUAGCUGUUUGGGAAUAAUAUAAUACCAGGGGCA
rnacentral:lncRNA from 1 species